GGCCCGAGGGUCCCUGGUUUUGCCUCACGACCUUCGUCAAGGUCCUCUGUCAAGGAAGGGACUGUGUGCAAGGGGCUCAGGCCUAACCCAUGGUGUGUGUGUGUACCAAGCAUUGCACUGCAGGUGUGACUACUGGACCGGAGCUGGCUCCCAUGGGAACUUGUACGAAGACAAUGGACGGCUGGACAGCCUGUGCUUACCUGCAACCGGGCCCAGACCUGCUUGUCCCAGACCUGCUCGAUCUAAACAGUUGCACCUGGUUCCCAGAGCAACGGGGCUCCUCACAAUGACUUUCGGGUGCUCCCUCCCGCUUCUGCCCGCCUUGGCCAGGUGCCCCCCGCUUCUGAAAUGACUAUAAAAGCUUCCCCCUGUGACUCACACUUUGAGAUCUCUCCACGGACAGAAGACGGAUCCAUUGGCCAGACGCCACGCCACGAGGACGCCUCUGCCGUUGGUAGCUAUAUCCCCCUGCCCCCCCUUUCCUCGCUCUGUAUCCUAUUUUUCCUUUCUCACUCCCUCUAUCGCAAGUGUUGUUGGCACUCAAUAAAGGUGCAUUUGUUGUAUGAUUAAA